rnacentral:rRNA from 1 species
UACGUAGGGGGCAAGCGUUGUCCGGAUUUAUUGGGCGUAAAAGGCUUGUAGGUGGCCACGCCAAGUCGGAUGUGAAAUCUCCCGGCUCAACUGGGAGGGGUCAUUCGAUACUGGCGGGCUCGAGGCCGGUAGGGGGAAGCGGAAUUCCCGGUGUAGUGGUGGAAUGCGUAGAUAUCGGGAGGAACACCAGUGGCGAAGGCGGCUUCCUGGACCGGUUCUGACACUGAGGAGCGAAAGCGUGGGGAGCGAUCCGGAUUAGAAACCCCUGUAGUCC